GAGGGAGCUUGCUCCCGCUGGACUGCGCAGCAGGCCCGAUUUUUGUGUGCGCUUCGCAAUCCGGCGGGAGCAAGCUCCCUC
rnacentral:misc_RNA from 1 species